CAGAGUUCUGGCCUUAGGCAAAUUUGAGUGGUUUAAAGGAUCACUGACCCAGUGGCCCCAAGGUGGGUUUAGUUUUAGAAAGAAUGAGCUUUGCUCCCAAGCUCAGGUGGCAGAUGAGGAAUCUUCCAUCUGCAGCUGAUGGAAUGGGCCUCCUGAUGAUGUGAUGAUGUUUUAAGGAAAUUUGCUGAUGCUGGGAUAUGGACAGAGCUCUACUGGCCCAGGAAAUGAGGCAGGGCUCGCUCAGCAUUGAACGGAGACAUAAAGGUGGGAGAUAAAUGCGGAAUGAAAGACACAGGAGAAUGCUGUAGGUGUAAAGCAAGUCUGUGACCCCGUGGACCGUGGCUGCUGGGUUAUGGCUUCCUGGGAACAAGACUCCAAGGCUCUGCAGUGUUCAACAUUUCCAGUCAAGCAUUCAAAAUGUCUCAGAGAUGAGGAAGGAAGUCUAGUGAAGAGUUUUUUCCAAGACUUUAAUUACCAGUGUGUGUAACAUGCAGAACUUUUAUUGGGCACCCAGCCAAGCAUGGGGCUGGAGAGGGGUAGGCUCACUUCCAGCCUGGAGCUCUCCUGCCCCCAUGGCUCAGGUGGGUGUUGGCCUGCACAGACUUGAAAACUGAGGCUGGCAGUGGAGCAGAAGCAAAGAGACCCCACCUCGUGCCAAGAUCUAACUGAUUCACCUGCUCACCUAUUCAUUUGUUGAACACAUGUUUAUGGGAUGCUGCCGUGGUCUGAAUGACGUCUUCCCCAAAUUCAUAUAAGGAAAUCCUCACCCCAGCAUGGUUAUUAGGAGGUAGGGUAGAGCCUUUGGGAGGUGAUUAGGCCAUGGGGGUGGAACCCUCAUGAAUGGAAUUAGUGCCCUUAUAAAACUAGGCUCCAGAGAGACCCCUCACCCCUUCCACCAUGCGAGAACACAGUGCAAAGAGGGCUGUCUAUGAGGAAGCCGACCCUCACAAGACCUGGAAUCUGCCAAUAACUUGCUCUUGGGCUUCCCAGACUUCUGAAAGGUGAGAAAUAAAUGCCUGUCGUUAAUAAGUCACCUCCUCUGUGGUAUUUGGUGAUAGCAGCCUGAAUGGACAUGGCUAACUACUUGCUGGGCAUUGGUUAAACCCUGAAGAGAGAGUAAGAGACAGAGUUUCCUAUUCUCCAUGGGUUCUGCAUUUAAGUUGG
rnacentral:lncRNA from 1 species